rnacentral:rRNA from 1 species
CCUACGGUGAGCAGCAGUGGGGAAUAUUGGACAAUGGGGGGAACCCUGAUCCAGCGACGCCGCGUGAGUGAAGAAGUAUUUCGGUAUGUAAAGCUCUAUCAGCAGGGAAGAAAGAAAUGACGGUACCUGACUAAGAAGCCCCGGCUAACUACGUGCCAGCAGCCGCGGUAAUACGUAGGGGGCAAGCGUUAUCCGGAUUUACUGGGUGUAAAGGGAGCGUAGACGGCGAUGCAAGUCUGAAGUGAAAGGCGGGGGCCCAACCCCCGGACUGCUUUGGAAACUGUAUGGCUGGAGUGCAGGAGAGGUAAGUGGAAUUCCUAGUGUAGCGGUGAAAUGCGUAGAUAUUAGGAGGAACACCAGUGGCGAAGGCGGCUUACUGGACUGUAACUGACGUUGAGGCUCGAAAGCGUGGGGAGCAAACAGGAUUAGAUACCCCAGUAGUC